rnacentral:rRNA from 1 species
GACGAACGCUGGCGGCGUGCUUAACACAUGCAAGUCGAACGGUGAAGCGCCUUCCUUUUUGGUGGGUGUGGAUGAGUGGCGAACGGGUAAGUAACACGUGAGUAACCUGCCCCCUUCUUCUGGAUAACCGCAUGAAAGUGUGGCUAAUACGGGAUAUUCUGGGUCUGUCGCAUGAUGGGUCUGGGAAAGAUAUUGUUUCGGUGGGGGAUGGGCUCGCGGCCUAUCAGCUUGUUGGUGGGGUGAUGGCCUACCAAGGCGGUGACGGGUAGCCGGCCUGAGAGGGUGGACGGUCACACUGGGACUGAGACACGGCCCAGACUCCUACGGGAGGCAGCAGGGGGGAAUAUUGCACAAUGGGCGCAAGCCUGAUGCAGCGACGCCGCGUGAGGGAUGGAGGCCUUCGGGUUGUGAACCUCUUUCGCCAGUGAAGCAGGCCUGCCUCGUUUGUGGGUGGGUUGACGGUAGCUGGAUAAGAAGCGCCGGCUAACUACGUG